GAUGAACGCUGGCGGCGUGCCUAAUACAUGCAAGUCGAGCGAACGGACGAGAAGCUUGCUUCUCUGAUGUUAGCGGCGGACGGGUGAGUAACACGUGGAUAACCUACCUAUAAGACUGGGAUAACUUCGGGAAACCGGAGCUAAUACCGGAUAAUAUUUUGAACCGCAUGGUUCAAAAGUGAAAGACGGUCUUGCUGUCACUUAUAGAUGGAUCCGCGCUGCAUUAGCUAGUUGGUAAGGUAACGGCUUACCAAGGCAACGAUGCAUAGCCUACCUGAGAGGGUGACCGGGCCCCCUGCAAGGGGGACUAGGUCCAGACCACUGCGGGAGGCAGCAGUAGGGAACCGGCCGUAAUGGGUGAAAGCCUGACGGAGCAACGCCGCGUGAGUGAUGAAGUUCUUCGGAUCGUAAAACUCUGUUAUUAGUGAAGAACAUAUGUGUAAGUAACUGUGCACAUCUUGACGGUACCUAAGCAGAAAGCCACGGCUAACUACGUG
rnacentral:rRNA from 1 species